rnacentral:rRNA from 1 species
GAUCCUGGCUCAGGACGAACGCUGGCGGCGCGCCUAACACAUGCAAGUCGAACGAGCGAGAGAGAGCUUGCUUUCUCGAGCGAGUGGCGAACGGGUGAGUAACGCGUGGGUAACCUGCCUCAUACAGGGGGAUAACAGUUAGAAAUGGCUGCUAAUACCGCAUAAGACCACGGUACUGCAUGGUACAGUGGUAAAAACUCCGGUGGUAUGAGAUCGGACCCGCGUCUGAUUAGCUAGUUGGGG